rnacentral:rRNA from 1 species
GAUGAACGCUAGCUACAGGCUUAACACAUGCAAGUCGAGGGGCAUCAUGUCGGUUGCUUGCAACCGAUGAUGGCGACCGGCGAAUGGGUGAGUAACGCGUAUCCAACCUGCCCCCGGCCGGGGUAUAACCCGUCGAAAGGCGGCCUAAUCCCCCAUGUAGUCCUCUGAGGUCCUCCGAUGAGGAUGAAAGGUAUUUUUCCGGCCGGUCGAUGGGGAUGCGUCCGAUUAGCUUGCUGGCGGGGUAACGGCCCACCAGGGCUUCGAUCGGUAGGGGUUCUGAGAGGAAGGUCCCCCACACUGGUACUGAGACACGGACCAGACUCCUACGGGAGGCAGCAGUGAGGAAUAUUGGUCAAUGGGCGGAAGCCUGAGCCAGCCAAGUAGCGUGCAGGAUGACGGCCCUAUGGGUUGUAAACUGCUUUUGCGCGGGGAUAAAUUGGGGAACGUGUUCCCCUU